UAAACAUCUGAUCCGUAAACGAGGUGGAGUCAGAGCUGGGUUGACUAUUUACUGCAUUGUUUGAGGUGGCUGCGCACCAGUGUGAGUGGUGGUGUCAAGGCACCUGGGUGGCCCACAGGUAACCCCCCUGCAGGUCUGGCUCCUGUAGAGGCUGAGGUGUUUUUAACCGUGUGCUUUUAUUCCUUAACAUUUCUGGCAGUAUUGGCAUCUACAUCUUAUCUGUUUUUAUUGUUUGCGCUUGUGCAGCAAAUAAAAUUGCCCAAAGCCUGAUUUUUUUAAUUGUUUAAAUAAAUUUUCCUUCCAGU